AAACCAUGUCUCGCAUCAGGGCAAACUCAAUACACCUUGCCAUUUUGUAAGACCAUGUCUCCCACAGUCUUCUUCUCUCCCCGAAACACAAGUCACUGAUUACCUCUUCGUCCACAGCCAAUCUUCGCGUCUGACUCAAAAGCUAAUUCAGCAUCCAACCGAAGCACCCAGCUCCUAGCCUGAGCGUCCAGUGGAUUUCACCUUCUCUCCACUGAAACCUGCAUCUCUCACAUCCCUAAUCAUCAAACUCUCAACUCCCGCCCCCUACAAUUUCUUCAAUCAUCGAAACCCUAACUCGCUCUCUCUAACUCAUUCACGACCCCCUCGUACUCCACCAUACUCUGAAGCUCGUCUCUGACCUGGCAUCGGGACAGCCCACCUCUCCGGCCUCGUCUUCGCCUCUGUUUUCUCCGACUCAGUGAGUGAGCUUCUCAGAGAUCGAUUCAAACUCUCCACUAUCUCUAUCGCUGAAGCCGAAGUGAAGAGAAGCAGCUUCUUGGGCUAUGAAGCCUCGAGUUGGGGAACGAUUCCGAGUCGGCCGGAAGAACAAUAGUAUAUCCAACAUGUGGCAUGAGGGCUUUGAGCUGGGGUCCGAUUACGGCAGUCAAGGCUUUGAGCCCAGAAGGGUCGUUACGAGAGCUCGAUUAUUCACCGGUUUCAGUGGAGCUCGCGCCCUUCUGCAGCGAAGCCCAGUUUGAUCGGCUCGUCGCUGAGGCUCAACAGCUCCAGCAGUUGUUCGUCAUCAUUUGGGCAAGCAUUACUCCUAGAAUUAUCUUCAUUAUUUUGGCUGGAAGCUUCAAAAGCAAUGAAAUUAUCCUUUUCAAGCACAUAAAUUGCAGUAAAGGAAUAAUGACAAUAAGGUCAGUGAGCCAAAUUCAGAUGUGAGGGAAGUGGGAGUUUCAAAAUUGAAGUUGAUGCACCAGAGGAUAAGGGGUUAAGGCACACCAUGGAUAACACUGAGGUUCUACUCCUGGAUGUGUGCACAUUUUGCAAUUCAUGAUGAGGAUAGGAGGUUCAUUAGUAGCAGAAUAUGCUAAGAAGGAUUUGGAUAAAUAUCUACUUUCAGUUGCAUUAUCAUGGGUUAUGACUGGUUGCUUCUUAUGAAUUAGCAAGCCUAAAGCAUUUUUAGUGGAGAAAUAAGUGGAUCAUGCACUUCAGCAAGUCAGGUUUGAUAAAAUUCUAAAUGAGAUGUUAAGUCACUUGGAGCGCCAGCCUAGGAACAAGGAGCGCCGUGUUGCAUGGCUUCGUUACGUAGAGCCGCUUUUUAAUGGUGUUGGUCAGGUGUUACUAGCUCAUUUCAGGCGCAUUUUCCCUCGUUUCUUUAAGUGGAUGCAAGCUGAUGACGAUGAGACUGUUUUACUAGUUCUCAAACAGAUUGAAACAGUUAUAAAGCUAACAUGGAUUAGGAAUACACCAUAUGUGGAAAGGUAAACAACACAAUCAUGAUUUGGGCCUCGCAUAUGCACGUUGUGCAUUAUUUUCUAGAUGGUUGUUGUGGCAUGUGGGAAGUAUUAUUUAAUUCAUCGCUUCGCUUCAUGAGGUUGGUGGAUGAACUUGCUACUUUGCACAAAGAAGCAGCAUUGAGAAGAUCUCGUGAAGAAAUUCGAAAUCUUGUUAUUCGUAUACUAAUCUUGCUCCAUCAAUGCAAGGGUCUGCAGUUCGAAGCAGCCAGGGGCAAGCACAGGGAUGAUCCAAACUUGGCAACAAUUGCUCCCGCUCCCUCUUUAAGUGAAAGAAGAUCAACAAUGUGUUCUAUUAAUGCUCUUUGGUGCUUGGACGAGCUGAGCUUUUGCAAAGGAAUGUUUAUGGAUUGAUGCAUCUUGAUUCAAGUUUACAACUGGAAGUCUAUUCGAUUUGUCUUCUGUCUAGAAUCUCUUCUUUUUUGCUUCUUGGGGCUUCCUAUUUGCUGAUUACGGUGAGUAGUUGGUGUUCCAUUUUGUAUUGGAAUGAUAUUCUUUUUGUUUUGAUUUUGGUGGAUUCAGGUCUAAUCAUUUUUUUAAACUUUGUUUCUGCUUUUGUUGUUCAUUCUCUUCCCGUUGCUGUUACUGCUUUCUGGUUUUGUUGUUCGCUCUGCAUGCAUCGAUUGGCUCUUCUUUGCCU